GCGGGGGUGGAGUAACUGGUAACUCAACAGACUCAUGAUCUGCAGAUGCAAGUUCAAUCCUUGCCCCCCGCG
rnacentral:tRNA from 1 species